GAUCCUGCCUCAGGACGAACGCUGGCGGCGUGCUUAACACAUGCAAGUCGAACGAGAAUCACUGGAAGGAGUUUUCGGACAACGGAAGGUGAGGACAGUGGCGGACGGGUGAGUAACGCGUGAGGAACCUGCCUUUCAGAGGGGGACAACAGUUGGAAACGACUGCUAAUACCGCAUGACACAUAGAGAUCGCAUGGUUUUUAUGUCAAAGAUUUAUCGCUGAAAGAUGGCCUCGCGU
rnacentral:rRNA from 1 species